CCUACGGGAGGCAGCAGUGGGGAAUUUUGGACAAUGGGCGCAAGCCUGAUCCAGCAAUGCCGCGUGAGUGAAGAAGGCCUUCGGGUUGUAAAGCUCUUUUGUCAGGGAAGAAACGGUGGAGGUUAAUACCUUCUGCUAAUGACGGUACCUGAAGAAUAAGCACCGGCUAACUACGUGCCAGCAGCCGCGGUAAUACGUAGGGUGCAAGCGUUAAUCGGAAUUACUGGGCGUAAAGCGUGCGCAGGCGGUUGUGCAAGACAGAUGUGAAAUCCCCGGGCUCAACCUGGGAAUUGCAUUUGUGACUGUACGGCUAGAGUGUGUCAGAGGGGGGUAGAAUUCCACGUGUAGCAGUGAAAUGCGUAGAGAUGUGGAGGAAUACCGAUGGCGAAGGCAGCCCCCUGGGAUAACACUGACGCUCAUGCACGAAAGCGUGGGGAGCAAACAGGAUUAGAUACCCUGGUAGUCCACGCCCUAAACGAUGUCUACUAGUUGUCGGGUCUUUAUUGACUUGGUAACGCAGCUACGCGUGAGUAGACCGCCGUCGGGAGGUACGGUCGCGAGAGUAAACUACGAAGAAGUAGACGGCGUGAGACGUAGCCGACGGACGACGACGAGGGAGGAGG
rnacentral:rRNA from 1 species